rnacentral:pre_miRNA from 1 species
UGGUGUCAAUCAAUGUAGUGUGGUAAGUGGUCAGAGUUCAAGUCUAUUGGACACCUAGAUUGGUGAUACUG